rnacentral:tRNA from 1 species
GCUCAGGUAGUUUAUAUAAAACAUUAUUUUUGUAAAAUAAUAAUAGAUUUUAAGUCUUCUGAGUA